rnacentral:rRNA from 1 species
AUUGAACGCUGGCGGCAUGCUUUACACAUGCAAGUCGGACGGCAGCACAGAGAAGCUUGCUUCUUGGGUGGCGAGUGGCGAACGGGUGAGUAACAUAUCGGAACGUACCGAGUAAUGGGGGAUAACUAAUCGAAAGAUUAGCUAAUACCGCAUAUUCUCUGAGGAGGAAAGCAGGGGACCUUCGGGCCUUGCGUUAUUCGAGCGGCCGAUAUCUGAUUAGCUAGUUGGUGGGGUAAAGGCCUACCAAGGCGACGAUCAGUAGCGGGUCUGAGAGGAUGAUCCGCCACACUGGGACUGAGACACGGCCCAGACUCCUACGGGAGGCAGCAGUGGGGAAUUUUGGACAAUGGGCGCAAGCCUGAUCCAGCCAUGCCGCGUGUCUGAAGAAGGCCUUCGGGUUGUAAAGGACUUUUGUCAGGGAAGAAAAGGCUGUUGCUAAUACCGACAGCUGAUGACGGUACCUGAAGAAUAAGCACCGGCUAACUACGUGCCAGCAGCCGCGGUAAUACGUAGGGUGCGAGCGUUAAUCGGAAUUACUGGGCGUAAAGCGAGCGCAGACGGUUACUUAAGCAGGAUGUGGAAUCCCCGGGCUCAACCUGGGAACUGCGUUCUGAAACUGGGUGACUAGAGUGUGUCAGAGGGAGGUAGAAUUCCACGUGUAGCAGUGAAAUGCGUAGAGAUGUGGAGGAAUACCGAUGGCGAAGGCAGCCUCCUGGGAUA